CAGAACCAAUAAACAUAGAGUGUUAAUAAGUAAGUAUGCAGACCACAAAUACUAGAACUUCUUAAAUUAUGUCAAACAAAUGGUAGCAAAUAAAGGAAAAAGUGAGAAUGAGAAGAGCAGCCUAAAACAGAGAGAAGGGAGGUGCUGUGAAGUAGAAUAAAAAAGGAGUUCAGUUCAGACAAAUAUGUGCUGGACUGAACAAAAAAAAAUCUAGGAUGUCUCCAUGGCAGCUAAAUCCCAGCCAAUUUCUCUAUUUAACUUUGAAGCAAAGCCUUUCACAAGCUGUCCAGUGCUUGGCACAUUUAGGGCUGGGAAAACGGACAAACAUUAUUAAAAUUUUGGCCAGGAGGAUGUGCAGGUGGAAAGAAAAGAGAAAUGAGCAGCUGAGUAGCACUAAAGAAGCAUUUGUAAUGAGAUGGUAGCUAUGACUUGAGAAAGGCUGUCUUACAUCUCCCCAGAUGGUGGCUUCUAGAAUGAAAUGUGACAGCUUUUACAUCUCUUCCCCUCAGAAAAUUUUUGCUUGAAGUUCUGUCAUUAAAUUUACUGAAGCUCCAGAAUUCAAUCAACAGGGAUUUUCAGAGAAAUGUGCCCUCAUAUUUGACUUGACCGAAUAAGAAAAGAUGAAGAGAGUAUUUAGUUGGUGGACACAGCAAAGUUCGCACAUUGGUAAGCUUUGAUGAAAAGAUCUAAGCAUCUCUUCAAUUCAGAAAGGAACCUAGUAUAUUGUCUUCUGAGAGGACUCACACAGCAGUUGAUGGUAACAGAUGAAGAGUAACACACCCAAACAUUAGGUGAAGCUCACGGAAUCAAACGGAAGAGGAGGAAGAAGGAUUGAAGAAGCCAGAGAGGUCAAAAGAUGUCAAAGGAAAAAAUACAGAAUCAACUAAACUGUGCCCAUAGGGACUCAGAGUCUGACCCACAAACCAAAGAACAUGGAUUGAUUGGACCAAGGCACAUAUUUGCUACAGAUAUUCUGCUUAGUCUUCAUGUGAGAACCCUAACAACUGUAUCAGGAGUUGUCUCAGAUUCUGUUGUCUGCCUUUGGAUACUUUUUCUCUAACUGGGAUGGCUUGACAGGCUAAAUAGGAGAUAUGCACAGUCCUAUUGCAAUUUGAAUGCCAAUGUUGGUUGAUGUUCAUGGGAGUCCUCUCUUCUGAGAAAAAAAGAAAGGGUGGAUUGAAGGAGUUUAUGAGGAAGAAAAAGACUGGGAAGCGAGGAGGGAGGUUUAGUGAAUACAUUAACAAAUAAACAAAAAAUAAAUGGCAAAACCAUUAUGUACCAUUUAUCUACUUGCUUCACCUUCCUUACAUAAUAUCGAAAUGCUCAGAAAUAUUUUUCAAUGUAUGACUUUGUAAAUUUUACAUCAUCCAAUAUUUUACUUUACUUAUAUACUAGCCAAAGCCUUGACAUUUUCCUACAUCAGCAUGUGAGGAAAAUAAUCAGGAGUUGAAAGCUGAAUCUCAGCAAUAUACUCAAGAAUAUAAAUAUCUGCCAGUGAAGUAUGUGUUGAGAUUUACUUGAAUUAGAUAUGUUAAGUUCUCUUAGAAUUAGAGAGAGGAACUUGUUAUUAAAAAGAGAUACAUUGAAGAAGUGUAGAAAUGGUAAAUAACCCAAAUCCAAGAUUAGCAGAACAUUAUGUCAUGAAUCAUGCAAGCAGUAGGUAAAUACAGUAUGUCUUUUGUACAAAACAGAGUUCGAAGCUGGAUCAAGAGUAACUGUUCUUUAUGCUAACAAACAUUUUUAUUGUCCUUCAAACAAUAGCCCACAGGAUAGCCUGAAGAUAUUUGAAGAUAAAAUCAAAUUCCCAAGACCCGAUAAACAGUUCUCU
rnacentral:sRNA from 1 species